AUGCUUGCAUGAUAGGGGAGAUAACAUGUUCACAAAGGUAGUUUUCCCAAUGUGAGGCUUACCUACUACAUUCUAUAUAUGCUUAUCCCUGCAAUUUCCCCAAAUCUGGGAAGCUCAACUGCAUAAUCUCUGGUACAAUGGACUGUGCUCAUGCUCUCUCCAAC
ensembl:snRNA Gm24030 predicted gene, 24030